rnacentral:piRNA from 1 species
UGCUCAAUAAGCUGUAGCCUA